UGCCUCAGAGCUCAAGGUCACGGUUGUCACACAGGCUCCCCUGCCUCUGAAGUCAAGGUCACAGUCGUCACACAGGCUCCCCUGCCUCAGAGCUCAAGGUCACGGUUGUCACACAUGAUCCCCUGCCUCUGAAGUCAAGGUCACGGUUGUCACACAUGAUCCCCUGCCUCUGAAGUCAAGGUCACGGGCGUCACACAGGCACCCCUGCCUCUGAAGUCAAGGUCACGGGCGUCACACAGGCUCCCCUGCCUCUGAACUCAAGGUCACGGGCGUCACACAGGCUCCACUGCCUCUGAACUCAAGGUCACGGGCAUCACACAUGAUCCCCUGCCUCUGAACUCAAGGUCACGGGCGUCACACAUGAUCCCCUGCCUCUGAAGUCAAGGUCAUGGGCGUCACACAGGCUCCCCUGCCUCUGAACUCAAGGUCACGGGCGUCACACAGGCUCCACUGCCUCUGAAGUCAAGGUCACGGGCGUCACACAGGCACCCCUGCCUCUGAAGUCAAGGUCACGGGCGUCACACAGGCUCCCCUGCCUCUGAAGUCAAGGUCACGGUCGUCACACAGGCUCCCCUGCCUCUGAACUCAAGGUCACGGGCGUCACACAGGCUCCACUGCCUCUGAACUCAAGGUCACGGGCAUCACACAUGAUCCCCUGCCUCUGAACUCAAGGUCACGGGCGUCACACAUGAUCCCCUGCCUCUGAAGUCAAGGUCACGGGCGUCACACAGGCUCCCCUGCCUCUGAACUCAAGGUCACGGGCGUCACACAGGCUCCACUGCCUCUGAACUCAAGGUCACGGGCAUCACACAUGAUCCCCUGCCUCUGAACUCAAGGUCACGGGCGUCACACAUGAUCCCCUGCCUCUGAAGUCAAGGUCACGGGCGUCACACAGUCUCCCCUGCCUCUGAAGUCAAGGUCAUGGUUGUCACACAUGAUCCCCUGCCUCUGAAGUCAAGGUCACUGUCAU